GUUGUCAACGAAUUUCAUUAUCGAUUCGUUGUGUCGCGCGACACGGAGACGUUUGGUUAUCAAAAAAAAAAAACUUUAUUUGAGCGCGGAGCGAAGUAAACACACUCGGUCUCUCUCGCGCACUGAUGCUAGCAGAGUUCGGCGCCUCAUAUACAGGGCACAGCAAAAAUAAAAAAACGAGCGGAGGAAAGAUACAUGACGGAGGCAGAGAAAUCAGCGCGACCCAAGUCAUCAUAGGUGCGGGAGCAUUUCACACUAAAUAAACAGAAAAACUUUGUUAACUACAAAAUAUGCAAACGCGACAUGGCGGGAGCAACGCGGCAAUGAUCCAGCACCUGAAACGCAAACAUGUUUGAGUCUGUGAUGAGGAGGAAGGGAGUUCAACAGCAGACCGUUCUCCAGACGUGGACAACUAUUCUGAAGACGACAAUGACAGUUAUUCUUCAGAGCAGGAGGUCAGUGAUGAUGCCGUUCAGGGUCAGUGGAUAUGAACAGAAGUUCAGAUGAGUCUACAGCGCUUCACUCUACAGCUGUUGAGCAGACGGCCGGGGGGGAUGUCACAUGUGACGGGGAUGUGAACGCAGACAAAUCAGCAGCAAACAUCGGCAAACUCUGCAAGGCCGAGUCUCAGACUCUCAUGUCGUGGAGACGCUGUGUCUUUCGUUAAAAAAAACGACUGCUUCACGAACGCUUUGGUUAAAAGUGGGGCUAUUCCAACCAUUAAAACUUUACAAGGACAGUCUGGCGCUUCUGAUUUGCAGCCUGAGCAGACGGAGGAGGAGACAAUGUGUCACAUGUGACGGGGAUGUGAACGCAGACAAAUCAGCAGCAUCCAUUGGCAAACUCUGCAAGGCCGAUAAUCUGACUCUCAUGUCGUGGAGACGCUGUGUCUUUUGUUGCAAAAAGAAAGACCCUUUGUUUGUCCUGGGUCAAAGAGGACUUUCAAGGUGGAGAUGUCUUGGCAGUGGAUAUGAACAGAUAUUCAGAUGAGUCUACAGCACUGGACUCAACAGCUGUGGAGCAGACGGCUGGGGGGAUGUCACAUGUGACAGGGAUGUGAACGCAGACAAAUCAGCAGCAAACAUCGGCAAACUCUGCAAGGCUGAGUCUCAGACUCUCAUGUCACUUCGGUGGCCCCUCGGAAGAAGAAGUUGAAGAGGAGACCACGACCCCGUCAGCAGCGGCAGAAGCGGCCCUCAUGGGAAGACCCUAUGGAGACCGAGAAUAACUUUGGGCCCCCCAGCCAUUCCAUCACUGGUUGGUUUAUCCGGGACGGGCCCUGCUCGCAUCCCAACAGCCCACUUGAAGGAGUUUUCCUCUCCCUCUGGGUGUUUUUUACAGCUGCUCUCACCCUCUUCACAACGGUGUUCGGAAACCUGACGUUUCGUGAUGGCGAGACGCAUCGUUGAGUAUCCUCCGCAGCCCUCAGCACUCUCAAAUCGAUGGUGCAUAGAGCUGCAUCGCCAGGCAGGUAUGUCAGCAGAGCCCCGGUGGCCUCCCCACGGCGAGGGAUCCACACUGCUAGCCAUCGAACCACCUCAUGAGGGGAAGAUGAUGCAGAUCACACCCCUAGUCCCCCUGUAACUGUCCCUGGGCGCUUGGCUCAAGACCACUGCCCAAGUUGAGGCAUCCUCUCAACCUUAGUCAGAGACAUGGACGCUCCCGUACUUUGGGCCGAGGUCGCCACCCUGCUGGCGAAAGAGCGAUCGAGGCUGUCCCUCUAGCCGAGACGUACAACUGGUUUUACAGCCCGUACUUCAUCAUCCCCAAGAAAGGCAGGGGGAUGUGCUCCUAAAUCUGCAUUCCCUGAUCAGGCACCUACACAAGCUGCCUUUCAGGAUGCUCAGGCCGAAGCGCAUCUAUCAGAUGCCAGGAUCAGAUGCAGGUCGCUUCGCGAGCAUAUCACGCUGAAGGGAAACGGGGAUUUACAAAUUGCCCUCAUUGUGAUCCGACAAAAUGACGGACGGCCUUCAGAUUUUUCCGUCACUGGUAAAAAAUCUGUCAAUGAAAGAUCAUUUUCGGUUAGACCUCUGUUACACAAACGUGCAGGAAUAUCUGGACCAUAGCCAAUCAGAGGGGGGUCCGCCAUUCACUAUCAUUGAUUGGUUUAGACCACGAUAUGGGCCUAAUGUGUGUCUGUUAUUGAAUCACAGGAAGACUUUCAGAGUUGCAGAGACUUUUUUUCCCCUCGAACGGCUGGUCGUACCGGUGCGACCUCUGAUAAUUUUAAGUCGCACUAUUGAAAAAUAAGGUCGCAUCUGCUCUGAUUGACUCUUUGAUGAUGAGAAAAACACCUAAGACUUUCGCGGAUAGAUUACAUGCCUUAAGCAUUAGCAAGCGGUUUAAAUUACCGUGCCAAAAAAUGCUAUGCAAAAUAAGCGAAUAAAUGACUGACACAAUUUUAAACAAGUAACGAUAAUAUUCACUGUAACGAUUACAGUUCAUGAUGAAUUAAGUACAUUUUAUUUAUUUUCGGUAGAUUUCACUAUUAUAAUUUAUUGCAUAAGUUUCUGAAACUGGACCAUGAUCCAAGAUAACAAUAGGAUCAUAUUGGCACCUUGCCACUCUUGGAAUCAGUUAAUUAGAGAUCGAAAAAUAGUCAAUACUUGAAUGACCCUUCGUCACUGUAGAACAACAUGAUUAUGUUCUUUUAUUAGGGAACAAUGUUCUCCAUGGAACAGACAGAUUUUGUUAUUUUAUAUGGUCCCAUACCUUUUUCCUAGUCUAAGUGUGUCAAGUAAAAUUUUGGCAUGUUAAUUAAAAAAGAAAAACUUUUCAGACCCUUUGCUCAGUAUUUUGUAGAAGCACCCUUUUGAUUUAAUACAGCCACGAGUCUUUUUGGGAAAGAUGCAACGUUUUUCACACCUGGAUUUGGGGAUCCUCUGGCAUUCCUCCUUGCAGAUCCUUUCUAGUUCUGUCAGGUUGGAUGGUAAACGUUGGUGGACAGCCAUUUUUAGGUCUCUCCAGAGAUGCUCAAUUGGGUUUAAGUCAGGUCUCUGGCUGGGCCAUUGAAGAACAGUAACGGAGUUGUUGUGAAGCCACUCCAUCAUUAAUUUAGCUUUGUGCUUAGGGUCAUUGUCUUGUUAGAAGGUAAACCUUCGGCACAGUCUGAGGUCCUGAGCACUCUGGAGAAUCCUGGAUAUCCCUGUACUUGGCCGCAUUCAUCUUUCCCUCAAUUGCAACCAGUUGUCCUGUCCCUGCAGCUGAAAAACACGGCCACAUCAUGAUGCUGCCACCACCAUGCUUCACUGUUGGGACUGUACAAGCAGUUGCUUGCUUUUUUUUUCCUCACACACCGCUUAGAAUUAAGGCCAAAAAGUUCUAUCUUGGACUCAUCAGACCAAACAAUCUUAUUUGUCACCAUCUUGGAGUCCUUCAGGUGUUUUUUAGCAAACUCCAUGCACGAUUUUAUGUGUCUUGCACUGAGGAGAGGCUUCUGUCGGGCCACUCUGCCUUAAGCCCCAACUGUUGGAGGGCUGCAGUGAUGGUUGACUUUCUACAACUUUCUCCCAUCUCCCGAAGGCAUCUCUGGAGCUCAGCCACAGUGAUCUUUGGGUUCUUCUCUACCUCUCUCACCAAGGCUCUUCUCCCACGAUAGCUCAGUUUUGCCGGAUGACCAGCUCUAGGAAGGGUUCUGGUCGUCCCAAAAGUCUUCCAUUUAAGGAUUAUGGAGAACACUGUGCUCUUAGGAACCUUAAGCGCAGAAAAACAUUUUUUCCUUGGCCAGAACUGUGGCUUGGCACAAUUCUGUCUCUGAACUCUUCAGGCAUUUCCUUUGCUCUCAUGAUUCUCAUUUGCUCUGACAUGCACUGUGAGCUGUAAGAUCUUAUAUAGACAGGUGUGUGGCUUUCCUAAUCAAGUCCAAUCAGUAUAAUCAAACACAGCUGGACUCAAAUGAAGGUGUCAAUCCAUCUCAAGGAUGAUCAGAAGAAAUGCACAGCACCUGAGUUAAAUAUAUGAGUGUCACAGCUAGUGGUCGACCGAUUAUCGAACUGGCCGAAUAUCGGCGUCGAUAUCAAAGAUUUAGCCGAUAAUCGAUAUCGAUCAUUUUCAAUGCAGAUUGGCAGAUAAAGUCAUUUAAUUUUGUAAUGUGCUAUUUGGCUCUGACGCAGCCAAGGAUUUAGUGAGAGCAGUCGGAACACGUCUAUGUAGUUUGUUGCCAAGAGUAAUGCCCGCCCACUGCCCCUCUGAUUUGUUGGGACUAAGUCACAAGUCCGGCCAAUCAACGUGGGAGGCUGCGGAACAGAAAGUGCUGCUGCUCCGGGUUCAUGCUCUCUGAGAGCCCAGGCUUCAAGAGCACGACGAGCCAAAAUGAAUUUCCAGGGGAAAAAAAGGGAAAAUCCAGGACCGGAGCGAUGACCUCUCCCCCACCGCCGCCACCGGUCUUCGAGAUUUCUACGAGUAACCGCUUUGGCCCCCUCUGCGAGACGAAACCCAACGUUGUGGUCAUCCGAGACUCAAUCGUCCGGAACUUACGCACAUCAUUCAAUGAAGGUAAGGUUUGCACUCAAUGUUUUCCUGGCGCCCGUGUUCUCGAUGUCUCUGCGCAGGUAACUGCGAUUCUGAAGGAGGAUGCAAGAGUGGGAGCCGUAGUUCUGCACGCGGGGGUGAAUGACGUGAGAAUGCGGCAGUCUGGUCGAUACUGUUUGCAACGCAUCGCCCACGGCGAGGAUCAUCGUAUCAGGGCCGCUUCCUACUUACCGACGAGGCAACGAAAAGUUCAGUAGGCUAUUUACGCUCAAUAAUUGGUUAAUGUCAUGGUGUAUUGAACAUAAACUUCUCUUUCUAAAUAAUUUUGAUCUGUUCUGGGAGUGACGAAGGCUUUUCCGCCCCGACAGGCUGCACUCGAGCAGCAUUGGAGCGGAAAUUCUGUCUGACAACAUCUCAAAGACGCUACGCACCAUUUGACUAGUAAGUACAAACUUUAACCAUAGUCUGUGUUCCUCUCACCCAACUGUUAAGAAUGUUAAUGCUUUCAAAUGCAUAGAGACUGUGUCUGUCCCCCGAAUAAUACGACCAAAUAAUAAUUUAUUUAAAAUUCAGAGAAAAAAAAAGAUUUUUUACAUGAUUAAACUCAAAGACAAUAUAUUCAGUGACCAAAACCAAUGCCUAAGGUUUGGGCUACUUAAUAUUACGUUUUACAUUUACAUUUUAGUCAUCUGGCAGACGCUUUUAUCACAAGCCACUUACAGUGGACUUAUUACAGGGACAAUCCCCCUGGAGCAAAAUGGAGUAAAGUCUAUUGCUCAAGGACACACUGGUGGUGGCUGCUGGGAUCAAACCAGCAACCUUUGAUUUACCAGUUCAGUGGUUUAACCCACUAGACCACCAUCUCCAUAUUAGAUCACUAAAUCCAAAGGCAGUUAUUGUAAAUGAAAUGAUCACAGACAACAGUUUUGAUAUUUAGACUGAAAUAAUCAUUUGGCUUAAGCCAGGUUUUAGUAAGGCAAAGUAUGAGUCUACUCCACCAAGCUACGGUUAUAUUCAUGAGCCACGUCCGGUUGGUCGAGGUGGUGGUGUGGCAACAAUCUUUAGAGAUUUUCUUACCGUUACUCGGAGAACAAUGCAUACGUUUAAAUCAUUUGAAAUGCUUGCGUUGAACAUAACAGUUCCAAACAAAAGUAAAAAAUCAUUGGUCUCUCUUACAUUGGUUACUGUGUAUAGACCCCCUGGGCCUUACACUAAUUUUCUGAUAGAGUUCGCAGACUUCUUAUCGGAUCUAUUGGUUAACGUCGAUAAAGUACUGAUUGUCAGAGAUUUUUCACGUAGAUAUUGCUAACGAUCCAUUAGCUGUGGCGUUUAAAGAACUACUAGACUCUUGUGGUGUAACACAAUACAUCAAUAGACCUACUCAUCACCUUAAUCAUACUCUAGACUUGAUUAUAUCACACGGAGCCGAUCUAACCAAUAUCAAUAUUAUACCUUAAAACGUCGACGUUUCCGAUCACCAUCUUAUAACAUGUACACUGCGGACUGCAGAAAUCAGUUGUAUAUCUAGUUAUCGACAGGGUAGAACAAUCACCUCAACUACUAAAGAUAGUUUUGUAAAGAACUUGCCAGAUCUGACUCCUCUAAUAACCUCUCCAACUAAUAUAGAAUCGCUCGAUGACAUGACCAGCAACAUGGGCACUAUUUUCUCUAAUACAUUAGAAGCGGUCGCACCUAUGAAGUCAAAAAGGAUAAAUGAUAAGAUCAUAGCACCAUGGUAUAAUAACACCACUCGCGCCCUAAAAAAGAAACUCGUAAACUGGAGCGAAAAUGGAAACAAACCCAAUUAGAGGUCUUUAAAAUUGCAUGGAAAGAGAGUGCAAGCUGUUACAGAAAGGCACUAAAAGCAGCAAAAGCCGAGCACUUCCGUAACCUCAUAGAAAAUAACAAAAACAGUCCAAGGUUUUUAUUUAGUACAAUUGCUAAACUAACAAACAAACAGACUCCACCUGAUCUGGGUAUUCCGCCGCAUCUUGGUAGCAAUGAAUUCAUGAAGUUUUUUACUGUGAAAACCAAAAUAAUACGAGGCAACAUAGCUAAAACCAAACCUCCAAGUGUGUCGGAAGAAUUAGUUUCAACUGUCACCCAAAAAGAAAAGCUAGAGUGUUUUUCUCCUAUAAAUCAGGAAGAUUUAAUUAAAAUUAUUGUAACAUCCAAACCGACGACAUGCUUAUUAGACCCCAUUCCGACUACUUUAUUAAAAGAGUUACUACCUGCUGUAAUUGAGCCCAUUUGUAACAUAAUCAACUCGUCAAUUAAUCUAGGACAUGUCCCAGGACCCUUUAAGCUGGCUGUAAUUAAGCCUCUUAUCAAAAAAAAAACUUUGACCCCAAUGAACUUGGAAGCUAUAGACCGAUUUCAAAUCUCCCAUACUUGUCUAAAAUACUAGAAAAAGUAGUGUCAACUCAACUGUGUACCUUCCUACAAAAUAAUGACAUGAACGAAAAGUUUCAGUCUGGCUUUAGACCGCAUCACAGCACUGAAACUGCGCUCGUUAGAAUUACAAAUGACCUCCUUAUUGCAUCAGAUAAAGGUAACAUCUCACUCUUAGUCCUCCUUGACCUUAGUGCUGCUUUCGAUACUGUAGUAGACCAUAAAAUACUACUAGAUCGUUUACACCAUUAUAUCGGUAUUCAGGGAAAGGCACUGCAAUGGUUCAGAUCUUACUUAACAGACCGAUAUCAAUACGUCCAUUUAAAUGGGAAAUCGUCAAAUCUUACGCAAGUCAAUUAUGGAUUACCUCAGGGAUCCGUUUUAGGACCCUUGCUUUUCUCCAUAUACAUGCUGCCCCUCGGCAACAUUAUUAAAAAACAUGGAAUUAGCUUCCACUGUUAUGCAGAUGAUACUCAGCUAUAUAUCUCAUCAAGACCAGAUGAUUCCUUUAAGCUGUCCAAACUGGCAGAGUGCGUCGAGGACAUAAAACAUUGGAUGACUAGUAAUUUCCUCCUUUUAAACUCUAGCAAAACAGAAAUAUUACUUAUAGCACCAAAAUCAAGUAAACAGAAUAUCUCUGACUACAGCCUGCAAAUUGAAAGCUGCACUGUUUCUCCAACAAAUACAGUUAAAGAUCUAGGCGUUAUAUUAGACGGCAACCUGUCAUUUAAAAAUCACAUCUCAAAUAUCACAAAAACAGCCUUCUUCCACCUUAGAAAUGUUGCCAAAUUACAAAAUAGUUUAUGUGUUGCAGACGCAGAAAAGCUUAUUCAUGCAUUUGUGACCUCACGGCUUGACUAUUGUAAUGCUCUACUUAGUGGUUGUCCUGUAUCAUCGAUAAACAAACUAGUUAGUUCAGAAUGCAGCUGCCAGAGUUCUUACUAGGUCAAGAAAAUACGAUCACAUAACCCCAGUUUUAUCAUCGCUUCACUGGCUACCCAUUAAGUAUCGUAUUGAAUUUAAAAUUAUUUUAAUUACUUACAAAGCCCUGAACGGUUUAGCAACUACUUACUUAACCGAGCUUUUAUCACGUUACAACCCAUCACGCUCUCUAAGAUCUCAAAACUUAGGACUUUUGACAACACCUAGAAUAACAAAGUCCACCAAAGGGGGUCAAGCUUUCUCAUACGUAGCACCUAAACUCUGGAAUAGCCUUCCUGAUACUAUUCGAGGGUCAGACACACUCUCCCAAUUUAAAUCUAGAUUAAAGACACAUCUUUUCAGCCAAGCUUUCACUUAAUGUAUAGUUAAUGAACAGCAGCUACGCUAAUUAUUCUCUUUAUUCUCUUUCCGCCUCUGCCUCGGGAUGCCCAUCCCGAGGUAGGAAGAAGUUCCACCAUGUCCAGACGACCGACAGAUGCCCAUCCCCAAUUUGAGAUUACGCCAGCUACAGCUGCAGACUGACUGACCAUCCCAGCUCCAUCUAAGGCAAUUCCACCACCAGCCAAGAGAAAUAUGACCAUCGGACCAUCGCAGCUCAGACCACUACAUGCCCAACCAAGAGCAAAGACGGUCUAUUUGUCUUAAUAAGGCUGAAGUUACAAUAUUUGGUAUUAAAUGCUAAACCUAAACCACAUGUCACCAGUCUGAGUGCAGCUAUGACACGUCAGAGGGGAUCUGGCCCUCCCGGUUGAGCCUGGAUUCUCCCAAGGUUUUUUUCUCCAUCAAUCAAUCAUUGGAGUUUGGGUUCCUCGCAACAGCAGGGCAGUGUUGGCCUGCUCACCGGGAGACUACAUUCAUUUACUUAUUUAGAAAUUAGAUAUUAUUUAUUAGAAUGAUCUUACUCGAUGUAUAAAUACCAUGCACUGUGCUGUGUUUUAACUUUUCUGUUUUUCCUGUUUGCCCCUGUAAAGCUGCUGUAUAACAAUACACAUUGUGAAAAGCUCUAUAUAAAUAAACUUGAAUUGAUUUGA